CCGCACCCGCUGCGGCUCCCACCCUCCCCGCACCCGCGCACGCCGCUGUUCCCUCCUCCACCUGCAGGCCAUGCCGAGCCCGCAGUCUCCCUCUGCAAGAUCGCUCCGGAGCCUGCUGUCCUCCUCCACCUACAACAGCUCGUCCCCUUUUGAGGAUGAAUAGCUCGCGGUAACCGACGGCUGGGCUCAACGGCAUUCCUAUAUCCCCCAUCUCCUCCCCUCUAGCGAUUGCAGAGGCGACGACAGCUACGCUGCCGGAGGGACGACCUGGAGGUGAAGACUACUCCUCUCUCGCAUGUGUGGUACUCCCCUUUCCCUCUGCUAUGCGGUAGCGACCCGGAGGUCGGCGUGGGAUAUGCAAUGGUCCUGCCCGAAAUCUCCGGAUACAACGGCCUUCUCUUGUACCCAUCUCCAUUGUCGUAGUUCUUAUCGCUGGUGAGCCCUCGCUCCUCCUAUUAUUCCCUCUUCUCCUUGAGUUUCUAAAUCUCUAGGUUAGGGUUCUUUGUUUUGGGAUGUGGUGCAGAGCAAGAUGAAGAAAGAAAGGGAGUUUCGUACUACCUGUAGGUAAUGGGUGAUGUUGGGGAACUGGAGAUUGGCAUCUGGCCAUGGAAUUAAUGCAGGUGGAGGUGGAGAUAAUACAGAAGAAGAAGAAUAUGUGGAUGACAGAGAAGAAGAUGAGGAGCUCAAGUCUACAGACGGGGAACCAUGUUACAGUCUCUUUUUCGUUCCCGCAAAAGGAAAUUUUAAUGGAGGGUGCUUAAUUAGCCGUUCCCUUCCUUAGUGGAGGCUGCUUAUUUUAAUAUGUUGACUGAAAAAAAUUGGCUUCAUUCAAUUUUCUGCUCCUUUUCAUUUGGAGCUAAGAUUCGUGCUGAAAUCUCCGUGCGGAUGUGCAAUAAGCUUCUUAGAGACCAAACAAGUCAGCAAAAUGGACAGCAACAAGCCAGGCAACGCACCAUCACACCUCAGGAUGAUCUGAAGCACCCAGUAGAAGUAGAGGACAGGACAGGAGGAGGGAACAAGAAGAUUCGUUUAUCAUUGAUGUUAUGUGUGAUCAACAAAAACUUGUGCUUCUCAUCCAAUCUUUGUCGAACUAUGUUGAUGUGUGAUUAUGCA